rnacentral:tRNA from 1 species
GGGGAUGUAGCUCGGUGGUAGAGUGCAUACUUAGCAUGCAUGAGGUUACAGGUUCAAUCCCUAGUACCUCUA